rnacentral:tRNA from 1 species
GGCUUUGGUAGCUCAGUUGGUAGAGCGAGGUUCGCGACCUGCGUUGGUGGUUCGAUUCCAUCCCAAGCCACCA